UACAGAGGGGGCAAGCGUUGUUCGGAAUUACUGGGCGUAAAGGGCGCGUAGGCGGCCUGUUAAGUCGAACGUGAAAUCCCCGGGCUCAACCCGGGAACUGCGUCCGAUACUGGCAGGCUUGAAUUCGGGAGAGGGAUGUGGAAUUCCAGGUGUAGCGGUGAAAUGCGUAGAUAUCAGGAGGAACACCAAUAGCGAAGGCAGCUCGCUGGGACGUUACUGACACUGAGGCGCGAAAGCGUGGGGAGCGAACAGG
rnacentral:rRNA from 1 species